UACGUAGGGUGCGAGCGUUAAUCGGAAUUACUGGGCGUAAAGCGUGCGCAGGCGGUUCGCUAAGACCGAUGUGAAAUCCCCGGGCUUAACCUGGGAACUGCAUUUGUGACUGCAUGGCUGGAGUGCGGCAGAGGGGGAUGGAAUUCCGCGUGUAGCAGUGAAAUGCGUAGAUAUGCGGAGGAACACCGAUGGCGAAGGCAAUCCCCUGGGCCUGCACUGACGCUCAUGCACGAAAGCGUGGGGAGCAAACAGG
rnacentral:rRNA from 1 species